GUAAGAGCGGGGUUACUGCCCGCCUACACAGGGCUACAACCUGCCGCCUACUCGGCCACCUUACCUG
rnacentral:tRNA from 1 species